rnacentral:rRNA from 1 species
UGGGGAAUUUUGGACAAUGGGCGAAAGCCUGAUCCAGCAAUGCCGCGUGUGUGAAGAAGGCCUUCGGGUUGUAAAGCACUUUUGUCCGGAAAGAAAUCCUUGGCUCUAAUACAGUCGGGGGAUGACGGUACCGGAAGAAUAAGCACCGGCUAACUACGUGCCAGCAGCCGCGGUAAUACGUAGGGUGCAAGCGUUAAUCGGAAUUACUGGGCGUAAAGCGUGCGCAGGCGGUUUGCUAAGACCGAUGUGAAAUCCCCGGGCUCAACCUGGGAACUGCAUUUGUGACUGGCGGGCUAGAGUAUGGCAGAGGGGGGUAGAAUUCCACGUGUAGCAGUGAAAUGCGUAGAGAUGUGGAGGAAUACCGAUGGCGAAGGCAGCCCCCUGGGCCAAUACUGACGCUCAUGCACGAAAGCGUGGGGAGCAAACAGGAUUAGAUACCCUGGUAGUCCACGCCCUAAACGAUGUCAACUAGUUGUCGGGUCUUCAUUGACUUGGUAACGUAGCUAACGC